GACGAACGCUGGCGGCGUGCUUAACACAUGCAAGUCGAACGGGUCUGCCCUGUUUUUUGCGGGGUGGGUCAGUGGCGAACGGGUGAGUAACACGUGAGUAACCUGCCCCUCACUUCUGGAUAACCGCUUGAAAGGGUGGCUAAUACGGGGUGUUCUGGCUGUGCCGCAUGGUGUGGCUGGGAAAGAUUCACUUUUGUGGUGUUUUGGUGGGGGAUGAGCUCGCGGCCUAUCAGCUUGUUGGUGGGGUGAUGGCCUGCCAAGGCUUUGACGGGUAGCCGGCCUGAGAGGGUGGGCGGUCACACUGGGACUGAGAUACGGCCCAGACUCCUGCGGGAGGCAGCAGUGGGGGGUAUUGCACAAUGGGCGGAAGCCUGAUGCAGCGACGUCGCGUGAGGGAUGGAGGCCUUCGGGUUGUGAACCUCUUUCGCCGGUGAAGAAGGUCCUGCUCUUUGUGGUGGGGUUGACGGUAGCCGGGUUAUGAAGCGCCGGCUAACUACGUG
rnacentral:rRNA from 1 species